rnacentral:rRNA from 1 species
GAUGAACGCUGGCGGCGUGCCUAAUACAUGCAAGUCGAGCGAACGGACGAGAAGCUUGCUUCUCUGAUGUUAGCGGCGGACGGGUGAGUAACACGUGGAUAACCUACCUAUAAGACUGGGAUAACUUCGGGAAACCGGAGCUAAUACCGGAUAAUAUUAUGAACCGCAUGGUUCAAAAGUGAAAGACGGUCUUGCUGUCACUUAUAGAUGGAUCCGCGCUGCAUUAGCUAGUUGGUAAGGUAACGGCUUACCAAGGCAACGAUGCAUAGCCGACCUGAGAGGGUGAUCGGCCACACUGGAACUGAGACACGGUCCAGACUCCUACGGGAGGCAGCAGUAGGGAAUCUGCCGCAAUGGGCGAAAGCCUGACGGAGCAACGCCGCGUGAGUGAUGAAGGUCUUCGGAUCGUAAAACUCUGUUAUUAGGGAAGAACAUAUGUGUAAGUAACUGUGCACAUCUUGACGGUACCUAAUCAGAAAGCCACGGCUAACUACGU